rnacentral:rRNA from 1 species
UGGGUAACCUGCCUCAAAGAGGGGAAUAACCUCCCGAAAGGGAGAUUAAUACCGCAUAAUAUGUUUAGGUCGCAUGACUUUAACAUCAAAGGAUUUUCUUUUAGAAAUUCCACUUUGAGAUGGACCCGCGGUGCAUUAGCUAGUUGGUGAGGUAACGGCUCACCAAGGCAACGAUACGUAGCCGACCUGAGAGGGUGAUCGGCCACAUUGGAACUGAGACACGGUCCAGACUCCUACGGGAGCAG